rnacentral:rRNA from 1 species
GAGACUUGAGAAGAGCUGUCCCUAGUACGAGAGGACCGGGACGGACGAACCUCUGGUGUGCCAGUUGUUCCACCAGGAGCACUGCUGGUUAGCUACGUUCGGAAGGGAUAACCGCUGAAAGCAUCUAAGCGGGAAGCUCGCUUCAAGAUGAGGUCUCCCACAGGGUUAACCUGGUAAGGCCCCCGACUAGACCAUCGGGUUGAUAGGCCGGAAGUGGAAGUACAGCAAUGUAUGGAGCUGACCGGUACUAAUAGGCCGAGGACUUGCCACA